rnacentral:rRNA from 1 species
CGGAGGAAAAGAAACCAACAGGGAUUGCCUCAGUAACGGCGAGUGAAGCGGCAAAAGCUCAAAUUUUAAAGCUGGCACCUUCGGUGUCCGCGUUGUAAUUUUGUGAGGCAUCUCCGGGUAGGGCGCCGGCCUAAGUUCCUUGGAACAGGACGUCAUAGAGGGUGAGAAUCCCGUGCUUGGCUGGCUGUCCCCGUCCAUGUGAGGUGUCUUCGACGAGUCGAGUUGUUUGGGAAUGCAGCUCAAAAUGGGUGGUAAAUUUCAUCUAAAGCUAAAUAUUGGUGGGAGACCGAUAGCGCACAAGUAGAGUGAUCGAAAGAUGAAAAGCACUUUGAAAAUAGAGUUAAAAAGUACGUGAAAUUGUUGAAAGGGAAGCGCUUGAGACCAGACUUCGGUGGGGGGUGAUCAGCUGUCCUUCUGGGCGGUGCACUUGCUCCCCUCCGGGCCAGCAUCGGUUGGGGCGGCGGGAUAAAGAUCCCGGGAAUGUGGCUCCUUUCGGGGAGUGUUAUAGCCCGGGUGAAUGCCGCCAGUUCCGACCGAGGACCGCGCCUUCGGGCUAGGAUGCUUGGCAUAAUGGUCUUCAGCGACCCGUCU